GAUGAACGCUGGCGGCGUGCCUAAUACAUGCAAGUCGAGCGAACGGACGAGAAGCUUGCUUCUCUGAUGUUAGCGGCGGACGGGUGAGUAACACGUGGAUAACCUACCUAUAAGACUGGGAUAACUUCGGGAAACCGGAGCUAAUACCGGAUAAUAUUUUGAACCGCAUGGUUCAAAAGUGAAAGACGGUCUUGCUGUCACUUAUAGAUGGAUCCGCGCUGCAUUAGCUAGUUGGUAAGGUAACGGCUUACCAAGGCAACGAUGCAUAGCCGACCUGAGAGGGUGAUCGGCCACACUGGAACUGAGACACGGUCCAGACUCCUACGGGAGGCAGCAGUAGGGAAUCUUCCGCAAUGGGCGAAAGCCUGACGGAGCAACGCCGCGUGAGUGAUGAAGGUCUUCGGAUCGUAAAACUCUGUUAUUAGGGAAGAACAUAUGUGUAAGUAACUGUGCACAUCUUGACGGUACCUAAUCAGAAAGCCACGGCUAACUACGUGCCAGCAGCCGCGGUAAUACGUAGGUGGCAAGCGUUAUCCGGAAUUAUUGGGCGUAAAGCGCGCGUAGGCGGUUUUUUAAGUCUGAUGUGAAAGCCCACGGCUCAACCGUGGAGGGUCAUUGGAAACUGGAAAACUUGAGUGCAGAAGAGGAAAGUGGAAUUCCAUGUGUAGCGGUGAAAUGCGCAGAGAUAUGGAGGAACACCAGUGGCGAAGGCGACUUUCUGGUCUGUAACUGACGCUGAUGUGCGAAAGCGUGGGGAUCAAACAGGAUUAGAUACCCUGGUAGUCCACGCCGUAAACGAUGAGUGCUAAGUGUUAGGGGGUUUCCGCCCCUUAGUGCUGCAGCUAACGCAUUAAGCACUCCGCCUGGGGAGUACGACCGCAAGGUUGAAACUCAAAGGAAUUGACGGGGACCCGCACAAGCGGUGGAGCAUGUGGUUUAAUUCGAAGCAACGCGAAGAACCUUACCAAAUCUUGACAUCCUCUGACCCCUCUAGAGAUAGAGUUUUCCCCUUCGGGGGACAGAGUGACAGGUGGUGCAUGGUUGUCGUCAGCUCGUGUCGUGAGAUGUUGGGUUAAGUCCCGCAACGAGCGCAACCCUUAAGCUUAGUUGCCAUCAUUAAGUUGGGCACUCUAAGUUGACUGCCGGUGACAAACCGGAGGAAGGUGGGGAUGACGUCAAAUCAUCAUGCCCCUUAUGAUUUGGGCUACACACGUGCUACAAUGGACAAUACAAAGGGUAGCGAAACCGCGAGGUCAAGCAAAUCCCAUAAAGUUGUUCUCAGUUCGGAUUGUAGUCUGCAACUCGACUAUAUGAAGCUGGAAUCGCUAGUAAUCGUAGAUCAGCAUGCUACGGUGAAUACGUUCCCGGGUCU
rnacentral:rRNA from 1 species